AAUUCAAAAGCAACUUCGGGGUGGGUGGGACUCUUGAAGAGUGCAAAGAAAAGUUUGACGUGAUACUCUCCAGCUUGCUACACCAGGAAAUCUCUGCUUCCUGUUCCAGCUCUGCAAUAGCAGAGCUCAUAGCCCUCUAGUUCUUUCCUGUCCCUGGCAGGCUGACUUGGCAGUGCAAAGGUCUGGAACUAAAGAAGAACAAGAUAUUUUCUAUCUUGGAGAAGAACUAAAAUAUGUUGGUCUCCAGCCUUCUCCUGGUGAUCCUGUCUUCACUGUGGCUGGGAUCAGGUAUCGCUCAGAAGGUAACUCAAGCCCAACCAGCAAUACUGGUGCAAGAGAAAGAACCUGUGACCAUGGAUUGCACAUAUGAGGUCAGUGCUACAAGCUACAGUCUCUACUGGUACAAGCAGCCCAGCACUGGGGAGAUGAUCUUCCUUAUUCGCCAGGACUCCUACGGCCAGCACAAUGCAACACAAGGCCGCUACUCACUGAAUUUCCAGAAGGAAAGGAAAUCCAUCAGCCUUAUCAUCUCCACUUCACAGCUGGAAGACUCAGCUGCGUACUUCUGUGCACUGAGAGAUGACACUGUGAGAGGACUCUUGUAGGGAGUUACACAAAAACCCUCAAAGUCUCUUUGAGACAUCAGCUGCUAGGGUGCCUGAGGUGGAGACUCACCAUGCCCGACAGGAUGUGGAAGGGCUGUGGCAGCACAGCUGUUGGGGGUGGAGGGAGAACACCUUGUCGCUGAAGACAUUUCUCCAGGUUCAUAGAGUGUGUCCAGAGUUACCAUUUACCAGAACAUUCCAAUCCCUGAACCUUGGACCUGAAGUUAGACAUGCAGAACUUAAGAGAAAUUAUGGAGGGGAAUGUAAAGAAUUUCCUAUUUGUAUAUUAGAUUGGACAAUAAGAAUUG